GACGAACGCUGGCGGCGUGCUUAACACAUGCAAGUCGAACGGAAAGGCCCUGCGUUUGUGGGGUGCUCGAUUGGCGAACGGGUGAGUAACACGUGAGUAACCUGCCCUUGACUUUGGGAUAACUUCAGGAAACUGGGGCUAAUACCGGAGAGGAGCUCCUGCUGCAUGGGGGGGGUUGGAAAGUUUCGGCGGUUUGGGCUGGACUCGCUGCUUAUCCGCUGGUUGGGGGGGUAGUUGAUUUCCAGGGCUUUGACGGGUAGCCGGCACGAGAGGGUGACCGGCCACAUUGGGACUGAGGUACGGCCCAGACUCCUACGGGCGGCAGCGGUGGGAAGUAUUGCACAAUGGCCCCACGCCUGUUGCAGCAACCCCGCGAUCGUGAUGCCGGCCUUUGGGUUGUAAACAGAUUUCGCCUGUGCCGAAGCGUUAGUGACGGUAAUGGGUAAAAAAGCCCCGGCUAACUACGUG
rnacentral:rRNA from 1 species